AAUGAACGCUGGCGGCAGGCCUAAAACAUGCAAGUCGAACGCCUGUAGCAAUACAGGAGUGGCGCACGGGUGCGUAACACGUGGGAAUAUGCCUAUUGGUACGGAACAGCUCCGGGACACUGGAAUUAAUACCGUAUGGUCCCUUCGGGGUAAAGAUUUAUCGCCGAUAGAUUAGCCCGCGGUGGAUUAGCUAGUUGGUAGGGUAAUGGCCUACCAAGGCGACGAUCCAUAGCUGGUCUGAGAGGACGAUCAGCCACACUGGGACUGAGACACGGCCCAGACUCCUACGGGAGGCAGCAGUUAGGAAUAUUGGACAAUGGGCGCAAGCCUGAUCCAGCCAUGCCGCGUGAGUGAUGAAGGCCUUCGGGUUGUAAAACUCUUCAGCCGAUGAAUAUAAUGACUGUAGUCGGAAAAUAAGCCCCGGCUAACUUCGUGCCAGCCGCCGCCGUAA
rnacentral:rRNA from 1 species